rnacentral:rRNA from 1 species
AGUGAACGCUGGCGGUAGGCCUAACACAUGCAAGUCGAACGGCAGCACAGUAAGAGCUUGCUCUUACGGGUGGCGAGUGGCGGACGGGUGAGGAAUACAUCGGAAUCUACUUUUUCGUGGGGGAUAACGUAGGGAAACUUACGCUAAUACCGCAUACGACCUACGGGUGAAAGCAGGGGAUCUUCGGACCUUGCGCGAUUGAAUGAGCCGAUGUCGGAUUAGCUAGUUGGCGGGGUAAAGGCCCACCAAGGCGACGAUCCGUAGCUGGUUUGAGAGGUUGAUCGGCCACACUGGAACGGAGACACGGUCCAGACUCCUACGGGAGGCAGCAGUGGGGAAUAUUGGACAAUGGGCGCAAGCCUGAUCCGGCCAUACCGCGUGGGUGAAGAAGGCCUUCGGGUUGUAAAGCCCUUUUGUUGGGAAAGAAAAGCAGCAGGUUAAUACCCCGCUGUUCUGACGGUACCCAAAGAAUAAGCACCGGCUAACUUCGUG